rnacentral:rRNA from 1 species
UACGAAGGGGGCUAGCGUUGUUCGGAAUUACUGGGCGUAAAGCGCGCGCAGGCGGUUCUCCAAGUCAGUGGUGAAAGCCCGGAGCUCAACUCCGGAACUACCAUUGAAACUGUUGAACUUGAGGACGAGAGAGGUGAGUGGAAUUCCCAGUGUAGAGGUGAAAUUCGUAGAUAUUGGGAAGAACACCAGUGGCGAAGGCGGCUCACUGGCUCGUAUCUGACGCUCAGGCGCGAUAGCGUGGGGAUCAAACAGG